GAUGAAGAACGUAGCGAAAUGCGAUAAGUAAUGUGAAUUGCAGAAUUCAGUGAAUCAUCGAAUCUUUGAACGCACAUUGCGCCCGCGAGUAUUCUCGCGGGCAUGCCUGUCCGAGCGUCAUUUCAACCCUCAGGGCCCGCCUGCUUGCAGGCGCGGCGCUGGUGUUGGGGAUCGGCUACCCUGCCGUCCCCCAAAUACAGUGGCGGUCUCGCUGCAGCCUUCCCUGCGUAGUAGCAACACUCGCAUGCGGAGCGCGGCGCGGCCACGCCGUAAAACCCCCGACUUUCUGAACGUUGACCUCGGAUCAGGUAGGAAUACCCGCUGAACUUAAGCAUAUCAAUAAGCGGAGGA
rnacentral:misc_RNA from 1 species